UGCUGCUAUUAUUCUCACUUCACUGUGAAGAAAAAUGAAGCUCCGAGUUUGAUUUAUCCUUGGGUUACACACUAACAAAUGGCAAGGUAAAGUCUAAAAAAAGAGUAGUAGCAAACUACUACCAGCAGGCUUAAUCUAAUUGUCCACUUGCUUUUGAGCAUAAAGUUUUAAGGGAACAGAGGUUUCCUCAUUCAUUUGCCUGCUGUCUGCAGCUGCCUUCACGCUAGAACAGCAGAGAUGAGGAGCUGCAACAGAGAUGAGAUGGCAUCUUGCUAUGCUGGAAACCUUCCCAGAAGAAGUACCACGGGUUCAUAAAACUGCUACACUACCUGGUGUAAUCCAAAGGGAAGCAAGUCUCCAACAAUGAGAACACAAAGUACAUGGACAGAGUUAAUGAAGCAUAACAUUGGAUUAAGGAAGACACCUGAGACAUUGUUUCCUAUCUUCGGCAUCAAGAAACCCUAAACAUACAGGUUCCUGUCUUCCUGCUGCAGUGGGAAAUUUGGACCAAUAUGUGACAUUCAUAUCGCACAAAUACAAUUAAUGUAUUUAUCUGUGGCUUUUCUGCUCAUGUUAAAGAUUAAAAAUAUUUCAUUUCCAGGAUAAACUGAGAUGAGGUGUCUUGGGAAAGAUAGGGUCAUUGUGUGAAU
rnacentral:lncRNA from 13 species